rnacentral:sRNA from 1 species
GCAGAUCGGGCGGUCCUUUGAGAUCGUUACCAGCGUCGACCGCGGCCCGCGCAACGCCAAGCGCCAGGGGGUCGGUGUCGUACA